rnacentral:rRNA from 1 species
ACAUGCUUGCAACAUAGCGUUAAUGCAUUGGAUCCCAUUAGAACUUCGUAGUUAAGCAUGCUCAGGCUAGAGUAGUAUUGGGAUGGGUGACUGUUACCCAUAAUUUUGGUCAUCAUGAU